AGCCACACCAACACGGUGAGCUGCUUUAGGAAUUAUAUCAUCAUAAAGCAUCACAUCUCAAAGGCAGAGUAACAGAUGUAUUGUGUUGACCUACUGAGUGUGGAAUAUACCUGGAAAAAAGUGACAGACACAGUGGGAGGGACACCCUCUCCCAGAGCAAGACAUUCCUGCUGGGUCUACAAAAACAGGCUAGUCUACUUUGGAGGAUAUGGCUGCAAAACAGCCAGAGAGGUCAACAAAACCAAGAGCUUUAUGGUUGAUGAGGCUAGCUGGGUGAGGAGAAAGAUUGUGAAAAAAAAAUGAACAGCUAAAGUUGUUGUACAGUAGUAGAGUUAGUUUACCCUGAUUUUUUUUAAUACAGG